GUGUCUGUUUUUCUGUGUGUGUCUCAGAUGCGACGCGGCGUAAAAUAAACGGGAUGACGCGGGCCAAAGCCCGCUAAACCAGCCACAGGGGUGGAAAGGCGGAUUAUGCAGUGAUGAUCCUUCCGCAGGUUCACCUACGGAAA
rnacentral:misc_RNA from 1 species